rnacentral:rRNA from 2 species
UUGCAGAAUUCCGCGAAUCAUCGAGUUUUUGAACGCAAGUUGCGCCCGAGGCUCGUCCCGAGGGCAUGCCCGCCUGAGCGUCCG